GACGAGGGGUCCAAGCGUUGUUCGGAAUUAUUGGGCGUAAAGCGGGUGUAGGUGGCUCUAUAAGUCAGAAGUGAAAGCCCCGAGCUUAACUUGGGAAGUGCUUUUGAUACUGUAGAGCUUGAGUGUGGGAGAGGAUCGUGGAAUUCCAGGUGUAGUGGUGAAAUACGUAGAUAUCUGGAGGAACACCGGUGGCGAAGGCGGCAUCCUGGACCGACACUGACGCUGAGGAGCGAAAGCCAGGGGAGCAAACGGG
rnacentral:rRNA from 1 species